GCAGUAGUUCAGGCACCUUGGGCUUUAUUAUUGUCUGUAUGAUACAUGUGUCAAGCUUUCCAGCCUGUUAGCUGCUUGGAUUGUUAGUGGGCUGUGUAACUAUAUGAUGCUUGUAGCUCUUGGUUUUUAUGUGGGGGUUCCUUUACUUUGUCUGGUGCCAGCUGUGAGUUGCACGGCUGCUCCAAAAGCCUUCAGUUUUGGUUCCAUCCAAAAUUCAGGGCUUUCCAACAGCCAAGAAAAUGAAGAACCUUCAGAUUUACACCGCAGCUUUAACCCCAAUGCAGACAUGCCUGCCCAGGUCACAGGGUCCCCUGUACCCAGUCGGUCAGCUCUGCCAAGAGGGAAUUCCCAUCCACGUAAGGUCAAUCUGCCCCUGUACCCUCUCGCAGAAGCUUUUCAUCUACCACUGCCUAUAGUCUUGGUACCCCCACCCCCCAAAGCAUUCGGCCUACCAAGAAAGCCAGUGCCCCAACGAAGGGUGUACACACUGCCUAAGGUCUUGGUACUCCCACCCGCUGAAGCAUUUGCUUUACCCAGAAAACUAGUGCUUAUAAGGAAGGUAUUGCUACUGCCUAAAGUGUUGGUGCCACCCCCUCCUGCUGCAAAGGUAUUGCCGACCCAUCAACUUCCAGUGAAGCCCUCCUGACCGCCUGGCUCUCUGAGGGUCUGCAUUCCUGAGGACGAGUGUGAAGCUUGUUCUUUGCUGAUUUCCUGUUACUUUUAUUUCCAAUAAAUGAUUGACUUUA